AAAAGUGAAAUAUGGGCUCUAUUGGCUCCUGUGAAGAGGGUUUUUGGGAGAGGGAAAUAGAAUAAGCAAGGAACUUUGGUUGUGAGAGCACUUGCAGGAACUUUCUCAAUUAGGUCUACUGGGAAUAGGAACUUCAAAGGGUAUCACCGCUCAGGCAGCCAUAAUUUUUAGGAAUUGCCUGAAUACUGUCAUGAUCAGGGAAGAAAUGUUGUCUGAGGCAUGAUAAAUAUUGGUCACUCCUGGAGAAGGGUCCUUAAGAAUAGCCUAUUUUAGUAAAGUGGACAAAAAGUAAAAAAUAAAAAGAUGAGGUAGUGCCAUGUACAUUAUAGUUUGUGAAUUUUGUGUUUUGGUGAGAGAGUGCUUGUUUCCUACUGGGAUUUACUAUAGAGUUUUCACAUUGCAUAUUAUAUUAUCAUAUUGUACUAAAUUAUAAUUGGUACUUUUAUUUCUUUAGUAAUACUGCUUUUGUAAUUUAAGGAAAUUAGUUUUGAAAGUCGUACAGUUCACUGCUAGAAACAGUUGGGGUUAAAGCCACAGUUUCUAAAAAUUUAACCAGGAUGGGAAAUAUAGGGCAGAUUGGGAAAAAAAUGCUAGUUUUAAUUAAUUUCAUGAGACUCUUUAGAAACAGAGGAAAGUUUAACAUCACUGAGCUUCAAUUUCUUAAUCUGUAAAUGGGAGAAAAACCAUCUUCAAGAGUUGUUAUGUAAAAAACAAAUACUGUACUGGGUUUAAUUCACUUGGUAAGGUGCUUUGCACAUGGUGGGUCUCUGGUUCCUUUUCCCAUAGUUGUCAUCAUGCCCGCUUCUAUGUCCCUAAACUGAAUUAUUGUCAACUAUAUUAAAACUUUGGAUUUAGAUAGCCAUGGUCAUAGCUCCAGCUUUCUCUAUUAAGACCAAUUUUUCUUAAGGCCUCCUCCCUAGAUCUGAUCAUUUCCUCUAAGUAUGGUAAUCACAUUUGUAAUCAGAGGGUGAUUAAGGAUGAAAUAUUAAGUCAUAUUUAGGAACACUCUGGAGGAUAAGGUGAGACAAAUAAUUUGUUAUAACUUGCUAAUGAGAUAUCUAAUUGACAUUUAUUUUUUCCUAUUUUAACUUUUGUCAUGGUAGGAAUUGGUUCAGUUUAUCAAGUGUAUAGUUCGUGCAAGAAAGUGCAGUACAUAGUACUUUUAGACCAAGGUACUACAUUGGUGAAAUGUCUAAAUAUAUACCAUCCUGAGUCCUAUCCCACCCCCGUGGGUUUACAUUCAGGUGGGCAAGAUAUGCAGAAACUGCUAUUAUAUAAGUCACAAGACCAUCAACAAUGAGGUGGUUGUGGUGGUGGUUUAGGAAUGGAUCUAGUAAGUCCUUGUGAAAGAGGUGGAAUUUGAGCAGAGCAUUAGAGAGUUGAUAAUAUUUUCACAGGCAAAUGAAAGGAGCAUAUUUCUGUUGGAUGGGGAAAAAUCUAAGGUAUGGAAGUGUUCUUGGAGGAAGGAGGAAUCUGAUAUUGCUAGCAUAUGUCUGUGAUGUGAGAAUGGGAAUAGAGUGUGAGAUGAGGUACUCAUCUAAAGGUAGGGAGAGGCCCAGAUUGUAUGGGGCUUUAAAAAAGCUAGUUCAGGGGUCUUAAGUGUUUUUCUGUAAAUGGAAGAUACUGAAGGUUAUUAAGUUAAUGAAUGAUAUGAUCUGUGCUUUGAAAAGUAACUGAUGGUAGUAUAUAAGAUGGAUUGGAGUUGAGAGACUGAGGUGGGGAAUAUUAGUCAGUGGAAGUAGUAGUGAGAUUUUUUUUUUUAACUGGGACAGAAGGGGUAGAAAGGAGAGAACUGAUGGGCAAGACCUUGCAGAGUUAAAAUAGAAUUUGGCAACUGAUUAAAUGUGAGAGAGUAAGAGAAACUAGAGUGGUGUGGUAGGACCUAAUUCAAUAUAACAGAUACUGAAUGCAUGACUGUCAAUAGAAGUGUCUAUGCUAGCCUUUGGACUUAAUAUAAAGAUAAAUGGCUAUUUGCAGUAUAGGGAGAUAGAAAGCCAAAAUGAACCUCCCCCUCUCUCAUGUUGUCUUGAACAAGAGCAAACCACUCUAAAGAUGACUGGUGCUUCUUUCUGGAAUGUGGAAAAGAGAAAAGGGACAUCUGUUUUUAUAUGCUUUCACCAGGAUUAUUUGGAGUAGAGGGCGUGGCCAACUGGGCACUGACCCCUCCCACCACUGGUGCUUCCCAGUUUCUCUAUCUUCCUUUAAACCGGUCUGGUCUAGAAAUAUUCAAGUCAAUUCCUACAGGGCAGGGCCUCUAUAUUUCCCUACCUUGAUUAUUCCAUCAAGAGGGCUAAUCAUUCCUCACCAUUCCAAAAUAAUGCCUGACUUGGUACUGUUGCUUUCUUAGGCUACAUUGUCGUUUCAGUACCACCCCUAUCAUAGUCUCUCUCAUUUGCAAUUUUGAGAGGGAAAUAUAAGAUUUUUUUCCCUUCUUGUAAUUUCUCUCUUGGUGGGUAUUGUCAUUAUCUUUAGUAGCAGUUCUUAAGAUUUGUUAAUCACUUGGAAUCUUGAAGUUUUAUCUUUGAGUACUUUGUCAGAAUUUGCUGUAUAAUGUUUACACAUUUAUGUUAUUUCCAAAGAUUAUUUACUGUUCUUGAUUAUAGUAGUUUUUUUCUUUGUCUAUAUUGUUUUCUUUUGGUUUGAUUUUGGGUGGGAAGAAAAUUGGAUGGGGGAGAGAUCUAGAGUUAAUUUUAAAGUAGCUUUUAUAGAUAAUAGAGAUGAUUUCUGAAUUGCCCUGGAGGCAUUCUAUAUAACUGAUUUUGCUGCUAUAUUUUAACCUAUAUCUGUACAUUUGAAGUAAGGCCUGUUGUGUGUGUGUUGGGGGGGGUAGGUUUUACUUAUUCCUUGCUUCAUUUCACCAAGUAUUUGAGGUGGUGUAUAGGAAAUAAAAUCCAGUAAUAUGUUGAUAUUCAGGAUAUGAGAAAACAUAAAGUAGAAAGUGUAUGGAGAGGAUGGAGGAUGUCAUUGCAGGGUGAAUUAGAACACAGGUAAGCGUCUACUAUACAUUUAAGAUAUAGUUGAAUUACAGAUUUGGCCUUGGAUUUCCUUGGGUUCUCAAUUCUUACUAUAGUUCAGAUAUACCUGGAAAUUAAUUAAAAAAUUUCCAUGCUAGUACCUCACUCACAUAAAUUCAUAUUUAACUAAUCUUUUGUUUACCUAGGCAUCAUUCCCCAAAUGCUUAUGAUGUAUAGCCAAGGAUAAAGAACUACAGCUCUAGGCCAAAGUAAAAAGAGAAAUAGUCAUAUAGUUCUCAUUAGCCAACCAACAAGAAAAAGGCAUAUCAGUUCCUAAGCUAGCAAUUUGCUCUAAAAUAAGUUUUCUGGGAGUUGUAAUGUUUUUCUGUAUUUUUUUUUCGGUUACUGUUUGAAGAUAUGACUGGGGCAAAGGAAGUUUUUGAGCUCUCUUGUAUGCUCUUGCUGUGUAGUUUUGAGGAAUUUGCU
rnacentral:lncRNA from 1 species